rnacentral:rRNA from 1 species
ACUCAAAUGAAUUGACGGGGGCCCGCACAAGCAGCGGAGCGUGUGGUUUAAUUCGAUGCAACGCGCAGAACCUUACCUAGGCUUGACAUGCAGGCAGUAGGCCCGGGAAACCGGAACGACCUGUUGAGUCAGGAACCUGCACAGAUGCUGCAUGGCUGUCGUCAGCUCGUGCCGUGAGGUGUUGGGUUAAGUCCCGCAACGAGCGCAACCCUCGUCGCCAGUUGCCUUUUCUGGCGAGACCGCCGGGAUGAACCCGGAGGAAGGUGGGGAUGACGUCAAGUCAGCACGGCUCUUACGUCUAGGGCUACACACACGCUACAAUGGCCGGUACAACGGGCAGCGAAGGGGCGACCCGGAGCGAAUCCCAGCAAAGCCGGCCUCAGUUGGGAUCGGAGGCUGCAACUCGCCUCCGUGAACGCGGAGUUGCUAGUAACCGCGGGUCAGCACACCGCGGUGAAUACGUUCCCGGGCCUUGUACACACCGCCCGU